AGGAACAUCUACACAUGUAACAUCAGAGCUGCGCUACCUUGAUAUUUUUUUUAACCUUUUGAGUUUGGAGGGGAUGGAAAACGAUUCCUACACCCACAUUCUGAAGCUUUUUGCGUUCUGCAGUGCAGGAGGCUGCUCCCUGUUCCAAGGCUGAUGCUGGAAUUUGUUUUCACAUGACUUUCCAAAUCUCUCCCUUCUGAGGAACAGAGCCUGCCAGGCCUAGUAGCUAUAUAUACACACUCCUGACAGUUAGACGUUUCAGCCAUGCUUGAGGUUUCAUUAUGCAUCCUGACAUUGAUACGUUCCCUGUGCAAUUAGUAGUUAAUUGGGAAAGAACACCAAAGGAAGGUACACAGGCAGAAAACUCUUACAUCUCCAGAACAAAUCUUGGCUAGAGCAAGAGCACAGGCAUUUGGCCCAGAUGAGCUUCCCUUCUUUCUUUAGGAGUAUUUAAGGCCUGUCCCAGAACCAGUUUACAUGCCACGGAUGAGUAGCAUGUUUAACUUGCUUUAAAAACUGAACUACCACGAUUCAGUAUCAGCCAAACAAGGAAACGCAAACUAUAGAUUCAUUUGUCCUCCAUGCUCUUUGCUGUGCUGCACUUUAGUAACUGGAACCUCCUCAAUUACACGCUUCAACCAUUUUUAUAAGAGCUGCUGAUGAGUCAGUUGAAUGCUCCUAACCAAGUUCUUAACAUCUGACAAUGCUAAGAACCACCUGUUAGAAAUUAACAAAUGCUGUUAGCACAGUUUUCUAUCCUCACUGUGACUGGCAUUGCAUGCCCUAUUUGAAUUCCAGUAGACUGUUAUUUCUAUGUUGCAGGUUAUAUGCAGAGACUCUAAGUUGCUGUUCACUGCUUUUCUGUAGGCAAGCAAUAUAAUUUAACUGAACAUUUUAAAGCAAAGAAAUAGCAUUUGGAUUAAGACCAAUAUCAGAUUGUUCAGAACGGUUCAAACCUUCUCUACUGGAACAACUACCAUACUAACAAUGUGUUCUGUGGGCCCCGAGAUGGUGUAGGUUUAGUUUAACCACGUAUCCUCCUACAGUACGUACUGAGAUGGUUCUGUUAAUCUUUUUUUCUUCAUACAAGGUGUUUCACCAGCCAGCAAACCAUUUAUAAAUGCUGUCACAGUUUGAUUUUAGCAGGAGAAAUGCUCUCAAGCAAGUUAGUUUCUUUUCAGGAACUUAUUUUUGUUCUUGUCAUGAAAAAACAAGCAGUGACAGGAACAUUACAUUAUAAUUCAGCAGAAGCUUCAGAUUCACUUCCAGUAACACUCAAUGCCUUUUCUCUUUCUUCCUAUUGCUUUGAUUGAGUUGUUUGGUCCAGGUGUUGCCCAGGACUGUAGAUUCACUUCCUCACACACAAAACAUAUGAAGAGUUUCCAGCCAGCAAUUUUGCUUUCUUUUUUUUGUACUUUUCAGACAAAGAAGAAAAAAAUCUAAUGAUUAAUCAAGAUGGCACAAGCAGAAUUGUCACAGUUUGCUUCCAGAGAGCAACUGUCCUUUGGUGAUAAAGAAACAACGCUGCAAACACAGUGAAAAAAGUUGGAUAAUUUUAUCAUAUCUGUUGGUUCCUCUACUUUGAAUUAUAGCAGGCUACAGGCCCUACACGUUAUUGGAGUAAGUUAACCAGCAUUUGUUUUUCCUCUGUUACCGUGUUGGGACCUGAAAGGAGAAGUAAAAGGAGGGUGGGAUGUGAAGGGAGAGAGGGAGAGCAGGGAGUACAAGACAGGUGGUCAGGGUGAAAGGUGGGCAGAAGUAGCUUCAUUAAGUAUGUCCAAGGAAAGUGCGUUCAGUAGAACUGCUCACAUUUUCACUUUGUCAGUCUGCUAACAAACAUUUCUCACAAAGAAAUUCCUACCCUGGGGGUGGUCUUGUUCUUCUUGUUAGAAAUACCAAAGUAGUACUCAGAGGCUCCAUACUCUCACUGAUUGUUUGUGAAGGACACUGCAGGAUGUACUUAGCAGUGUUUUAUUUAUGCUUAAAGAGAAAACUAAAGGAACUAUCUCAUAAUCGUUACCUUUACUGUUCUUUUACUCUAGGGCAAAGACUGGAUGGACACAAGAAUACAAGAGAUCAGGGAAACACGGUAACAUUUAUAUAAUUUAUGCUAUAGAUGCUAACAUUUACUACCUUUAUGAUAAUUAAGGUAAUCAGAUGUCAGACUAUCAGGAAGAAAAAACGUUUUACUUACAUAUCAACACAGCACUGAGGCUUCACUGCACCAGUCGCAUCCACCACCGCAUACUUAUUUGGAGUUGUACAAAGAACUGCAAAGAAAAGGACAGCAGAGGUGACAAGUCACAAAUUAACACCUCAAUUAUUUCAUCAACAGAUACAAGUGAAGACAGGGCUUUGGUUUCAUCGCAAAUAUGAUCGGUUACACGAACUAUAAUUGGAUUGUUCAAGAUCACCAACUAAUCCUUAAAUACAACUUAACCUAAGAAACCCACCUUUGAAUUUUAAGGCAAACUCAUAGGGGUUAUAUAGAGUCAACACCUGCUUGUGUGUUGACUGGUCAUCUGCAUAAAAUAUAAGUUCUGUAGGAAAAACAAAAACAGGAAGAUUUCCUUCCACUAACUCUGGCUGUCUUCUUUGUUGCUGCAUUGGCACUGAAUCCUCCUUGCUGCUUCUUGUGUUCUUAUGAGAUUUGUAU